rnacentral:rRNA from 1 species
GACUACCGGGGUAUCUAAGCCUGUUUGAUCCCCACACUUUCGAGCCUCAGCGUCAGUUACAGCUUCGUUAGCUGCCUUCGCAAUCGGUGUUCUAUGACAUAUCUAAGUAUUUCACCACUACAUGUCAUAUUCCGCCAACGGCAACUGUACUCUAGACUAACAGUAUCAAUGGCAGUUUCUGGGUUAAGCCCAAAGAUUUCACCACUGACUUAUCAGUCCGCCUACGCUCCCUUUAAACCCAAUGAAUCCGGAUAACGCUUGCAUCCUUCGUCUUACCGCGGCUGCUGGCACGAAGUUAGCCGAUGCUUAUUCUAACUAUACUAUCAGCCCCUUACACGUAAGGGGGUUUUCUCUAGUUCAAAAGCAGUUUACGACCCAUAGGGCCUUCUUCCUGCACGCGGCAUGGCUGGAUCAGCCUUGCGGCCAUUGUCCAAUAUUCCUUACUGCAGCCCCCCGUAGG